rnacentral:rRNA from 1 species
UACGAAGGGGGCUAGCGUUGCUCGGAAUCACUGGGCGUAAAGCGCACGUAGGCGGAUUGUUAAGUCAGGGGUGAAAUCCUGGAGCUCAACUCCAGAACUGCCUUUGAUACUGGCGAUCUCGAGUCCGGGAGAGGUGAGUGGAACUGCGAGUGUAGAGGUGAAAUUCGUAGAUAUUCGGCAAGAACACCAGUGGCGAAGGCGGCUCACUGGCCCGGUACUGACGCUGAGGUGCGAAAGCGUGGGAGCAAACAGG